GCUUUAUAUGUUUUGUGGGCGAGCUUCUUAUCCCUAAUCAGCUUAUGUAGUUUACUACUAAACCAUGGCGGAUGACUGUGUAAAAGUUUUCAACAUUUGAUUCCAAAUCUCCAUUGAAAAAUAGUGAAUGCCAGUCCACGGAACGAAUGUAGUCAUUGAUUUGAUCAUAAGGAGCCUUCGAGAAAUUGAAUUUGUAGACUGGUUGUUGAUUCGAGUCAUCACACUUGAAGAAACCUUGUUAGAAACGGAAGUAUCACAGUUAGAAAAGACUAGAUCAAGGAUAUUGUCAUUCACCCGGUUGUUGAUUGAGUUGAAUUGAUGGAAGCCGAACAGGUUGAAUGCGUCACAUAUAAGCUCUGAAAUGCGG